CCUACGGGUGGCAGCAGUGAGGAAUAUUGGUCAAUGGACGCAAGUCUGAACCAGCCAUGCCGCGUGCGGGAAGACGGUUCUCUGAAUUGUAAACUGCUUUUGUAGGAGAGUAAACGCAGAUACGCGUAUCUGUCUGAAAGUAUCGUACGAAUAAGGAUCGGCUAACUCCGUGCCAGCAGCCGCGGUAAUACGGAGGAUUCAAGCGUUAUCCGGAUUUAUUGGGUUUAACGGGUGGGUAGGCGGUCGGAUAAGUUAGAGGUGAAAUCCCGAGGCUCAACCUCGGAAUUGCCUCUGAUACUGUGCGGCUAGAGAGUAGGUGCGGUAGGCGGAAUGUAUGGUGUAGCGGUGAAAUGCGUAGAGAUCAGGCAGAACACCGAUUGCGAAGGCAGCUUACCAGGCUACUACUGACGUUGAGGCACGAAAGCGUGGGGAGCGAACAGGAUUAGAUACCCCGGUAGUC
rnacentral:rRNA from 1 species